AGUUAUGGUAAAUCAGAUUUGGGAUUGAGCUACCACAUUAGAAUGUUCUAAAGCCUAUAACAGUUUCACUUUGCGGACGACAUGUCGUGUCCAAAUGGGUUAUUUUAUUUUAUAAGUUAUAAGUCGGAGCCCAAUUUAAGACGACUACGCGUGGUGUACGAUUCAACCUCCCCCACUUCACCGCAGCCAUUCUCGAAGAAAUUCCGACAAACUUCCGACGUCUACGGCCAUUAUCGCUAUGUUCUUCUUCCACUCUACUUGCCAUUAAGUUUCUGUUUAGGGAUUCAGUAAGCUCUUUCAUUUCUGAAUUCUCUUUAAAAUUCGAUACAAAUUACCCAAAGAUAGUUUUUCUUGCUUCGAAUUUGUUCCAACAAAUUGAAUUUCUUCUUUCUUUUGGACGAUUUGGGCAUUCCGUUUCUUUUCUUUACCAAGAAUGUGCUAUAUGAGCUUGAUCAGAAGUAGAAUCCAUGAGUCCUGAAGAGUGAUUUCAUUUUCACUUUUCUUCGAGCUAAUUAGGUUAUUUGGUUAUUUUCUGUGUUUGUUCUUGUUCUGUGCUUCCUUACUUCUUGUAAGGGAAAACUUUCGUUCUGAAGUUCAAUAUUUUUACAUUACAUUGCAAGCACCUCGAAUAUUAUCACAGAACAAUUGUUUGACUUUAGUCAAAUUUGAUGCUGCUUCCAGUCUAAUUUCAGGAUACGCUUGAAUGGAAGCUAAAGUCUUGGUUGAUCUUCAGAUUAUUGGUACAGUUUUGGAGGAUCAAGAUUACUUGGAGAAGAUAACCAAGUUACAGGGUUACCUCGAUGAGGUGAAGAAGAUUGUGAGUGAAAGCUGUUCCCAAGAGGUUUUAGAAGUGGCGUUAAACUCCAUCUCAUCCCUAAUUACCAUCCUCUCCUCCAUGUCAUCGUCUACCAAACUCCAUUCUUCACUUUGAUGGUAUAAGAAAGUGAAUUAGAUUUGGGAUUGAGCUUCAAAACAUGUAUGAUGAUGUGAAUAUUUACUCGUGUAAAUAAUAUAACAUGUUGUAUUCUUGCUUGUUUCUCUUUGCUCAUCUUCGUUUUGUUAAGAGCAAAGAAAAGCUUACGAGCAUGAACAUGUGCAAAUUUAUGAAGGUCAAUGGGCUUCGUAAUUUUUUUUCCCCA